ACCCUAUCGAUAUUGUCUCUG
rnacentral:miRNA from 1 species